CACCCUGGGAACACAUGUGGGAACCAAAUCUAUAAUGCCAGGGAGAACUGGCGUUUGGAAGAGACCUGCUGCUCUUUGUCCAGAGUCUCCAUGUGGAUAUAACUGCAGAUAUUGGCCCUGCUUCAAAUCCUCUGGUUUCCUGGAGGAGAUGACUAAGAUGACUUUUGAGGAAAAGGUGCCAGGAGUAAAGUCUGACUUUUCCUUUGCCCUGCCAUGAAGGGAUGCCUCAGGUAGGGGCCCUGCUGUGCUCCAGGCUGCAGGAGAGAGUGUGGGUUGAAGAGAGACCUUCCAGAGGGACCAGAGUCCAUGAUUCCUGCAGCCACAGCUACCUCAAGAGGAGCCUGGGAUCCGCCUGGCCCUGGGAUACAGGCGUGGGGUGCGUGCAGGGUGCUCCGAGGGCUCUGUGUGUCCCAUUUCAUCAUGCUGCAAUU